UGUUCGGUUCGCGUCAUGUGCUCUAGGCACCGCUCCAUUUCGUUUCGUUUCGUUUUUGGUUUCGUCUCCUCCGUCGCAUCUUCCAUCUUCGUGCUAGAAAGAGGAGCCGCCACCGCCACGGCACGCAUCCACUCAAAAGACAGUGAGUGCGCCUAGCCGAGGCAGCAGCGAGGACAUGGACAUGGGAGCAGCAGCCACAGUCGCAUAGUCAAGCGCAGCAGCCACAGUCGCCAGCAAUUGCAAGGGCUCCGCCUUCGAGAGGUCCGCCGCCCGAGAGUCCGAUAAACCCAUUUGUGCCCCCAGGCCAGGGUCCAAGACCAGACCAGACCAGCAGCUCAACUUGUGCUUCCCUCAACCAAACCACCCGAGACGCUACGAACAGCAACGAAACGGAAGUGCAAUCAUUGAAAUGAUUGAUUGAACGAUCGAUUGAUUUAUUUUACCCGCAAAAUAAACCUUAACCUCACACAGCCGAUGCCUGGACACGUGAUUGGAUCUCCGGACUAAAGAUCAACUGAAACACCGAGACGCAAAACCAAGAACAGACUCAUUUACUGCAAGCCCAUUGGUUGGGCCCCACACCAAACUGGCCCAUCAAUUUUGGUUCUCCUACCCGCCACCGGGCGCUGGCGGCGGUUCCUCAAUAUAAUAGUUGCAAUUGUAAACCAAUAAGGAAUCAAAAUACAUAUAAUCAAAGCUAAAAAAGAACAAAAAGAAAAAACCAAAAACCAAAAACCAAAAACAAAACCAAACCGAACAGCAGAGAACGAGAGAGAUUCUUCGUAUAAUCCGGCGAUCGAUCCCUUUUUUUUCUUCGCUUUCGCUCUCGCGCUCUCUGUUUCUCUCUCACUCUGAAAUCUGUUAUCCAUAUUUCUGACACGCUCUCUCUCUCUCGCUCGCUCGAAUGAAACACACACACAAAAGACACUCAACGCACUCACCUAACGGUAUUAUAGCGGAUACGAAUUCGAUUUCGAUUCGGCUUUCGGGCUUACGGUUUUCGCGUUGCGCGCUCGGUUUUUAAAAGUGCUUUCCCCCCAUAGAGAACAUAUAUUAAAUAAAACAAAAGAAAACGAAACGAAACGUAACGAAACGAAUACAAAACGAAGCGAUGCAAAA